GGAGAGGUGGCUCAAUAGGUAAGAGCACUGGCUACUCUUCAAGAGGACCUGGGUUUGAUUCCCAGCACCCCCA
rfam:Rattus norvegicus chromosome 5, whole genome shotgun sequence.